rnacentral:rRNA from 1 species
UACGGAGGGGGCUAGCGUUGUUCGGAAUUACUGGGCGUAAAGCGCGCGUAGGCGGCUUUGUAAGUUAGAGGUGAAAGCCCGGAGCUCAACUUCGGAAUUGCCUUUAAGACUGCAUCGCUUGAAUCAUGGAGAGGUCAGUGGAAUUCCGAGUGUAGAGGUGAAAUUCGUAGAUAUUCGGAAGAACACCAGUGGCGAAGGCGGCUGACUGGACAUGUAUUGACGCUGAGGUGCGAAAGCGUGGGGAGCAAACAGG